rnacentral:lncRNA from 1 species
AAGCCUCAGCACCUUCAUGCCCUGGUUCAAGUCAAGUGUAACCUCCUUGGAUUGUGCUCAUCCCCUUGCAUUGUUUUGCCCCUUGUGCUUUUCUUUCUGUGGGUAUUUAUGUGUUUGUGUUGCUCACAGUUAAAUGAUAAAGAUUAAAUAUUGUAACGCUUCAGUCUACAGUGUAUGCUGCUCUUUUUGUAUGUGUGGAUUGAGGUAACAUCACUGUACUGACAGCAUGGAAAUUUUCACUGGUGCAAACAGAAAUACAUAUUUUAUAUUUUCCCAGAUUUCUGUUUCAAUGAAAUAAGCUCUCACUCAGACAAAAAGGCCUUUGUUCAUGUUCGCUUCCAAUCUUAAUUAGCAGCUGAGCUUUGAAAAAAUAAGCAAAGAAGUCCAGCCUUCAUAGCCAUUUCCUUUGUGCUAAGGACAGAAGCAGCUGUAAAGGACACUGUGUUUUCCUGUUCUCUUGGGUUUAUUUUAUUGACAUUCUUCUAGACUGUUUCUCCAAAAGUGCCUAUUGCUUGAGGACUGGCUUAUGACUAAGCCUGUCAGUUUUGGCUGUGGCUUCUUCUCUGUUGGUUUACCAAACAGCAGCUGCAGCUGGGUAGGUAGGAUCUAACCCUGUUCUUGUCCUGAUCUUGUGUUCCUUCAGUUACAACUUUCAGUCCAAACAGAGCCUGACCUGGGACUGCUGCAGUGGGUAAUAUUCUUGUGGCAUGUGUAAGAAGAUUUCUGCUGUACCAUUGCACUAUUUCAUGAUGCAGUGCACACCCAGAGGAGGACCCGACUGCAGAGAGAUCGCUGCCACGUGCCGGAUCUACAGAUGCAUUGGGAACGCCUGCCUGUGUAAACACAGAUGCUAUUUUGCAAAAGUUUCUAGAUAGCAGCUGAAUGAUGACUCAGACAUUUUUUGUCACUGCAGAGCUGCACAUGGUCUUGUGUACAGCAUCGUGAAAGACAUUAGAGCAAACGUACCAAUGAAGAGCUCUUUACUCUGGAAUUUUUGUGCACCCCACAUUUUUGCAAUAAUGCUCUCUGCAAUAAGCCAUAAUGUUCUGUGACACGACAUGCAUAGCAAUAAAAAGAGAUAACUGGCAUCCUUAUGUUUAAGU